UGGGGAAUAUUGCACAAUGGGCGAAAGCCUGAUGCAGCAACGCCGCGUGAGUGAUGAAGGUCUUCGGAUUGUAAAGCUCUGUCUUUUGGGACGAUAAUGACGGUACCAAAGGAGGAAGCCACGGCUAACUACGUGCCAGCAGCCGCGGUAAUACGUAGGUGGCGAGCGUUGUCCGGAUCUACUGGGCGUAAAGGGUGCGUAGGCGGAUGUUUAAGUGAGAUGUGAAAUACCCGGGCUUAACUUGGGUGCUGCAUUUCAAACUGGAUAUCUAGAGUGCAGGAGAGGAGAAUGGAAUUCCUAGUGUAGCGGUGAAAUGCGUAGAGAUUAGGAAGAACACCAGUGGCGAAGGCGAUUCUCUGGACUGUAACUGACGCUGAGGCACGAAAGCGUGGGUAGCAAACAGGAUUAGAUACCCUGGUAGUCCACGCCGUAAACGAUGAGUACUAGGUGUAGGAGGUAUCGACCCCUUCUGUGCC
rnacentral:rRNA from 1 species